CUCCUGGGAGCCCCCGGCGGGCCGCGACCCCAGCUCGAGCUGCCGCGCAGCCGCCGCCGCCGCCGCCACAGCGACCACAGCCGCCGCCCGAACCACCGCCAGACACCCAGAGAGAGGCCGGAGGCCGCGGGGGGGCGAGGACCCGGGUAGCCGUCCCUUCCACCCCCUGCUGGAUCUCCGGCCCUCGAGAGGCCGGCGCCCCCGCGGCGGAUGCUCCGUACCCGGUCGGGCCCGGGUUCCGUCUUCACGACAUCGCCCAGCGUCUCCGGAGUCGUCAUCCUGAAGAAUGGGGAGCGAAGGGGAGCUGGCUUGGGGCCUCGCUCCUCUGCCGUCAGGCUUCUCCGCCAUCAGGCUCCUCUGCCAUCAGACCGGGGUCCUCCACCAUCUGGCAGACCCUCUCCUGACCUCUGCCUUCUGACCCCCUCCAUGGGAUUCUGAGCACAGAGCCCACAACCCGCCCUCCUCCUCUCUGAAUCUCCGUGUCCGUAUGUCCCCCCUGCAAUAAACUCCAGCCCCAAGUGCCUGGUGCUGUGUUUGUUGUAUUGUUUUCCAGAUGUCUCUCUUUUCGAGUUUGUAAGGGGAAGGCCUUCCUGGCGUCCGAUCCUCGUGUCUUUUGCCCUGGGUGGGUCGGGUGGGCUCUCCCUUGACCUGGGCGGGUGUGUUUUUCUUUUCCCAUCGCCAACACUUAGCCUUUGGGGUGGGGAGAAGAGGCUUAUCUGCAACAGAGCAGUUGAAGGUCAGACCGUGUGAAGGACUUCGCAGUUUGGUGUACGCUUGGGGCAGAAGACAAGUGCCUCUGUAGAGAAGCAGACAAGUCCGCCCUCCUGUUCCAGCACAGAUGAGGGGAGAGGUGGAUGGUUUCGCACAAGCAUUGGGGUCUUCGGGGAUUGGGAUUAGUGUGAUUAUAGCGUCAGGCAGAGAGGCUGAGUCCCCCUGAGAUGUCAGGAUUGCUGCUGGGAGGGCGUGAGGCCUUCUUCCCGGGGUCUGAGAGCUGAGGGUGGACAGGGGUGGUGGUGGGCCUGUGCCUCCCUGGAAAUCACAGAGGAAGUUAGCCAGUACUGUGCUGCCUUUAAAGAUUCGUACAACCUCUCUGGUCUGCAGUGCUGCUGGUGGACCGAGGCAGAGAAAUUCCAGGCCUGCCGAAAGAGUCAGAAGUGGUUGAAUCCGUCCCCUCCCCGCAGAGCACUGAGGCCGGGCUCUGGGCAGGGCAUUGGACCCUAUACGCAGGUAGUGGUUUUCUUGUCUAGCCUCCUCCUUUGAACUGGAGACUUUCCCAGGGGAGUGAAACUGCACCUCCUCCCUCAGGCUGGGACAUCAGUGGAUAUGGACUGGGCUGAGAAUGUCGGUCCUUCCGUGUCCCUCGUUUCUUCCCUUCUAUCCGUCCAGCACCACUUCCCAGAGGGUGUCUCCAAACCGAAGGGGAACUCAGGGACCCAGCACCCCUUUAUGGUUAAGCAUAGGGCACUGACCGUGGAGCCAAGAUGCCCAGAUCCAAGUUCCAGCGCUUCCUCUCCCUAGCUGUGUGACCUUGGGCAGGUUACUCAACCUUCCUGGUCCUGUGAAACGAAGACGAUGAUAGUACUUCCAGAGUAAAUAAACCAGUGAUCCAAAGCCUUUCAAACGGCAUCACACGUUCCUUCUCUCCACCCGCCUCUGUCCCUCGGGGAUUAAAAAAACCACAGCUUGGAUCCCGAGGGAUGUCAAGUCGCCCCAGAGCUCUGGACGCCAGCAAGUGGCACCUGGGUCACAGCGGUGAACAAAACAGGCAAAGCUUCCUGCUUUCGAGGGAGCUGACCUAUUGCUGGAGAGACAGACGAGAAGCAUGACGAGUGACUUAAAUACACGUUAUGUCUGUUAACAAGAAGCACAGCGGACGAAGAUAAUCAGGGUGACAGGGAGUAAUGGAGUUGCUGAUUCCUGGGCAGAUGCCAAAGAGGUAAGGGCCGGGCAUACAGAUCUCUGGCGGGAAGAGUGUUCCAGGACAUGGGAACGACAAGUGCGAUAGCCCUGAGGCUCAGGUGCUUGGCCGGUUCAAGGAACCAUGAAGAAGCCAGGGAGUGCGCAGAGUGAGUGAAGGAGAGAGCAGGAAGGGGGGCAAGAGUAAGAGAGAGAGAGAGAGAGAGAGAGAGAGAGAGAGAGAGAGAAUGGGGGCAGAUUGUACAGAACCUCAAAGACCCACCGUGAGGUCUUUGGCUUUUACUUUGAAUGAGGUAGAACCAUGGAAAGUUCUUGAGCUGAGGAGGGACAGAGCCCGCUUAGGUGUUAACGGGACCCUCUGAUUGCCGCGUGGGAAGAAACUGUAGGGGGCGCGAGGGUGGAAGCUGGGGCCCAGGGAGGAGGCCACGGCCAUGGUUCAGGUGAGAGACAGUGGCUAGAACAAGGUAGUGGCCUGGAGGAAACGUGGGUGGUCAAAAUCUUAGUGUGUGUGUGAAAUCCACAUAGCAUAAAAGUUACCACUUGAGCCAUUUUA